rnacentral:rRNA from 1 species
UCCUACGGGAGGCAGCAGUGAGGAAUAUUGGACAAUGGAUGGAAAUCUGAUCCAGCCAUGCCGCGUGCAGGAAGACGGCCUUAUGGGUUGUAAACUGCUUUUAUACGGGAGCAAUAAGGGUUACGAGUAAUCCGAUGAGAGUACUGUAUGAAUAAGGAUCGGCUAACUCCGUGCCAGCAGCCGCGGUAAUACGGAGGAUCCGAGCGUUAUCCGGAAUUAUUGGGUUUAAAGGGUGCGUAGGCGGCCAUUUAAGUCAGCGGUGAAAUUUUGCAGCUUAACUGUAACAGUGCCGUUGAUACUGUUUGGCUAGGAUUUGGUUGUAGUGUGCGGAAUGUGUGGUGUAGCGGUGAAAUGCUUAGAUAUCACACAGAACACCGAUUGCGAAGGCAGCACACUAAGUCAUUAUUGACGCUGAGGCACGAAAGUGUGGGGAUCAAACAGGAUUAGAUACCCUGGUAGUCCACACUGUAAACGAUGAUAACUCGCUGUCGGCGAUACACAGUCGGUGGCCAAGCGAAAGCAUUAAGUUAUCCACCUGGGGAGUACGACCGCAAGGUUGAAACUCAAAGGAAUUGACGG